UACGGAGGGGGCAAGCGUUGUUCGGAAUUACUGGGCGUAAAGGGUGCGUAGGCGGCGCGGUAAGUCGGAUGUGAAAUCUCGGAGCUUAACUUCGAAACUGCAUUCGAUACUGCCGUGCUUGAGGACUGGAGAGGAGACUGGAAUUUACGGUGUAGCGGUGAAAUGCGUAGAUAUCGUAAGGAAGACCAGUGGCGAAGGCGGGUCUCUGGACAGUUCCUGACGCUGAGGCACGAAGGUCAGGGGAGCAAACGGG
rnacentral:rRNA from 1 species